rnacentral:lncRNA from 1 species
UUCCCUUCACUUUCCUCUGCAUUUUACAUUCCCCAUCUUCACCGGCUAUAAAUACAACACAAUGGUCCUCAACACAUUCAUCGCUCCUGUUUCGAAUUACCAACUUCUCUCUGUUAAUUCAAACACUACUUGUACCUCGUUUGCUCACGCAUAUGUCUAUGGCUUCGAUGUUGCAUUUGUUUCUUGUGCUUGGCUCUUUGAUGGUUGCCUCUGCUGGUAACUUCUACAAAGAUUUUGACAUCACCUGGGGAGAUGGCCGUGCCAAGAUACUCAACAAUGGCGACCUUCUUACUCUUUCCCUCGAUAAAGCUUCUGGCUCAGGAUUCCAGUCCAAGAAUGAGUAUCUAUAUGGCAAGAUUGACAUGCAGCUCAAGCUUGUCCCUGGCAACUCUGCUGGCACUGUCACUGCUUAUUACGUAAGUUCCUCCUUUUAAUACAACUUAAUCAUACGCAAGUAUUAUGUUUGCAAAACGGCUCGUAGUUGAAUAAUCAUAUGUGAUGAUACAUAUAAAUAUCUUUUUUUUUUUCUAAUGCAGCUAAAAUCACCGGGAUCAACAUGGGAUGAGAUAGACUUUGAAUUCUUGGGAAAUUCAAGUGGUGACCCUUACACUCUUCAUACCAAUGUAUUUACAAAUGGCAAAGGUGACAGAGAGCAACAAUUUCACCUCUGGUUUGACCCCACUGCUGACUUUCACACCUAUUCUAUCCUCUGGAAUCCUCAGCGCAUUGUGUAAGCAAUAUUUUCCUUCAAUCUCCAUCGUUUGUUUUUUCCUUGUCGUUCAAUCUGCUUAGACUUAUCAAUGUUUACUUAAUUUUCAGCUUCUCUGUUGAUGGCACCCCCAUAAGAGAAUUCAAGAACUCAGAGUCAAUUGGCGUUCCAUUCCCAAAGAAUCAGCCAAUGAGAAUAUACUCUUCUCUUUGGAAUGCUGAUGACUGGGCCACAAGAGGUGGCCUCGUGAAGACAGAUUGGACGCAUGCUCCUUUCACUGCUUCCUACGGAAACUUUAAUGCUGAAGCUUGUGUUUGGUCUAAUGGAAAAUCUUCUUGCGCUUCAAAUUCUGCUUCCUCUACAUCCAGCAACGGUGCUUGGUUCUCACAAGAGCUAGAUUCAACAAAUCAAAAUAGGCUGAAAUGGGUGCAGAAGAAUUACAUGAUUUACAAUUACUGCACUGAUACAAAGAGAUUUCCUCAGGGCCUUCCUGCAGAAUGCAGAACCUCCUAGAGAAAAUAAUCAACAAGACACUUAAAAAUUAUUUUAUUCUUUCGUGUAAUCAUUCAAUGGUUAUUCAAUUCAUGUAGAUUCUGGAGUCAGAUUCUUUGUUUCUCUGUAAUCAAUAAAAUGGCAUAUUAGUCCAAAUUUUACUAUAUGUAACACAAAAUUUUGUUAAUAAAUUUAAAAAAGGGUAAUGUUGUGAUUACUUGCGUGGUAUACAAAUUAAGUAUGCUAAUUAAGUAAACAUAAUAUUACUGUUUCAAAAGAUUUUGUUCUUCUUUGUUGUUAUUCUUCGUAAGCUUAAGCAUAUUGUUAUAAGCUUUAUUAAAGGGGUUGACAUGAUGACUCAUUAAUAAAGCUUUUAGACCCUAGAUUGGAAUAUGAAGAAUUAUCGAGGAAGCAUGAAGAUAAACGAGCAAAUGAGUCUCCACCAGAAUGAGAAGAAAAUGUACUGCGCGUGGGCGUUACCGUAUUUGUGUCAAUCGAGGAGAAAUUUUGGCCAUUGAUUAGUAUUUGAUAAGGCAGUAAAAGGGUAAAAUGGCAAAAAUAAAAUUAAAAAAACUAACCGAGUGAACUUACACAAGUCGAUGAGGAAGAGUGAUGCAUACCGUUAUUGGAUGAGGAAUGUACUUGUUAAUUAACAAUGAGAGAUUGAUAGGGGGACAUGGUGCGAGCCAGCUCUCGAGUGUUGAUUUUUCAAGGCGAGCCAACCUCGCCAUGCCACCACCGCCUUUCCAGUUAAACAAAUAAAACGUUCUCUAGUGUAAGUGGUAGUAUACAAAACAGCAAAAUCUUCAGUCCGUUCGAUUUAAAUACCAAUAUUUAUAAACUCCUUAAUAAUAAUAAUAAGCAUAUCUUCCAAUUCCAUAUGCGUUUUAUUACACAGGAAAUCACCAGGAAGUAUGUGUUAUCAAUUAACCUAUAAUUUGGAUACAAAUUCACAGUUUCAUGUUACUAGGAAGCAUCUGUAUCGGAAAUAAAGGGAUACAUAUUUCUUAGAUGUUAGAUCCAUGUUUCAUGUUAGGGACUCCAGUAAAGACUUGUCUUUCAUUUUCUCGGGUCAAAACAUUUUAGUUUUUACAUAGCAAAGGUUUCUUGUUCAAAUCUCAGCGUGCUCAAUUUUUUGCGAAUAACACACGUAUAUGUUUCAAUUCUUGUAUGUUCAAGAACCUCUAAUUCAAUCUCCUAUCUCCGCUUUUGGAACGACAUGACCUUCAAACUGGAUCCAUGUUUCACAUGGGCAGGUCUUUCAACACUUUAAUGCUAUUUUCUGGAUUCCUGUUUAACGUCUUAAGCUUUUGAACCAAAUGAUUUCCUGAUAAUAAAUAUAGUUAUAAAAAAAAUCUGUUAAUUAAGUACGUCAUUGAACAAUUUUUUUUUCUUUUUCUUUUGAGCAUAAAAUGGAAAAAAAAAAUCUCGAGAGAGAAGAGCACCCAGUGAAUUCUACAUUUUCUUUUUUGUGUUUUGACUGGUGGUGGUUGGAAAAAAAAAAAAAAUCUAAUAAGAGUCAGCCGGUGAUGCGAAACAGAACAGCAGUACAUAAUAAGUACUUGAGUCUCAAAAGUAACGCAAAGCCGCGUAUUGUAAUAAAAAAAAAAGUCCCUGUUGUAGCGUGUUCUGUUAGUGCGAUUUGGACAGCUGUUUUUAAUUCAUCACGCUAUUUUACGCAAACAACUGGGCACAGCUGAACUUACUCGAGCUUCCCAUUACUUUCCUCUGCUUUCGUUAUACUCACCUUCACCAGCUCAAUCAAGCUAUAAAUACCAAACCCUGGUGAGGUCCUAAACACACUCAUCGCUUCACUUUCAAAAAUUUCAAACUUCUCUCCAACUCAAAUUCUUCUAUCUUGUUGUUGCUCAGACGAAAGCUUCCAUGGCUUCAGUAUUGCAUCUGUCGCUGCUGCUUCUUGGCUCUUUGACGGUUGCCUCUGCUGGUAACUUCCACCAAGAUUUUGAUAUCACUUGGGGAGACGGGCGUGCUAAUAUACUCAACAAUGGCCAGCUUCUUACUCUUUCCCUUGAUAAAGCCUCUGGCUCAGGCUUCCAGUCCAAGAAUGAGUAUCUAUUCGGCAAGAUUGAUAUGCAACUCAAACUAGUCCCUGGCAACUCUGCCGGCACUGUCACUGCUUAUUAUGUAAGUUCCUGCCUUUAUAUGAAUAAACAAUAUGCAUGUUUGAUCAUCACCCUUUAUAUGAAUAAACAAUAUGCAUGUUUGAUCAUCAUGUAUCUGACAUAUAGACCUUUGAUUUUUUGUUCACGCAGUUAAAAUCGCCAGGAUCAACAUGGGAUGAGAUAGACUUCGAGUUCUUGGGGAAUUUAAGUGGUGACCCUUACACUCUGCAUACCAAUGUUUUCACAAAUGGCAAAGGUGACAAAGAACAACAAUUUCACCUCUGGUUUGACCCCACUGCUGACUUUCACACCUAUUCUAUCCUCUGGAAUCCUCAGCGCAUUGUGUAAGCAAUAUUUUCCUUCAAUCUCCAUCAUUUCUUCUUUCCUUGUCAUUCAAUCUGCUUAGACUUAUCAAUGUUUACUUAAUUUUCAGCUUCUCUGUGGAUGGUACUCCCAUAAGAGAGUUCAAGAACUCAGAGUCAAUUGGAGUUGCAUUCCCAAAGAAUCAGCCAAUGAGAAUAUACUCAUCUCUCUGGAAUGCUGAUGACUGGGCUACAAGAGGUGGCCUUGUCAAGACAGAUUGGACGCAUGCUCCCUUCACGGCUUCCUACAGAAACUUCAACGCUGAUGCUUGUGUCUGGUCUAAUGGAAAAUCUUCUUGCGCUUCAAGUUCACCUUCCUCUCCAUCCAGCAGCAGUGCCUGGUUCUCACAAGAGCUUGAUUCAACAAGUCAAGAAAGGCUGAAAUGGGUGCAGAAGAAUUACAUGAUUUACAAUUAUUGCGCUGAUGCAAAGAGAUUUCCCCAGGGACUCCCUGCAGAAUGCAGAACCUCUUAGAAGUUUUGUAAAAUCAACACAUACAUCAAAAAAAUUAAUUCUUUUUGUCAAUUCUUUGAUUCUUUGUUGUAUUUUGUCGUCAAUAAGAUGGCAAAUUAGUCCAACUUUCUCAAUGUAAUACAAAAUUUAGCAUAUAAAUAUCAUGAGAUUAUGUUCUCUACUCUUCGCAUGCUUGCUAUAUGUUCUUCUUUGGCUAGGUUUUAACGUAGAAACGACCAAACCUCUUCACAUAUGCAAUGGUACUCUAAAUUUUGACUGACUUCACGGGUAAGGACUAGCAAAAUAUUCUAUUGCCAUUAAAACGACUUCUCCCAUUUGGGACUUUUAUCAAAUGUCUUGCAAGCAAACGAUUAAAAUUCACCCUAACACCCACUCCACGAUUUUUUUUUAAUGUCCUGUUAAAAUAGUAAACCCAACAGUAACAUGACAAUAAAAAGAUAAAUCAAGAACAAAUACAAUCACAAUUGUAUCCAGUUAUUUAAUUCUUAUAUUCAUCUUUGAUUCUUUCAUGUAGUAUUCAUGCAUGUUCACAAAUUUAGCAUCCAAGCUUUAUGGCAUUUUGGGAUUGAGCAUCUUCUUGAUUGGGACGUGAAUGGUUAAUACACCUAAUAAUUGCAACCUUUUGUUUUCUCGAUAAAAAAAUAAUAAUAAUAAUAACAUAAAGGGACUUGGAUGUAAAUAGAACAUACAGUAUGGACGUCCCUAGAUUUACAUUUUGGUGAAUUUCAACAAUUACCAAAAAGAUAAAAAAAUAAUAAUAAUAAAUAAAAAGAUAUAUAUUUAUUUCUAAAAGAACAUUAACUAAGUUCACCAUGUUUGUUAAAUUUGUCAAUUAUCAACAUUUGUGCUAUACAAAUCACAAACUUCAUAGCUGAUUCAAGUCAUAUAUUAAUACAACAAAUAAAAAAGUAUAAUAAAUUUAAAAAUUAAUAAUAAUAAUUUAAAAUAGAAAAUUAGAACGAUAGCACGUAAAAGGUUGAUUAGUUGAGAUGAAUAUGAUAAUCAAAUGUUAGAUGCUGGCAAUGAAGUUUAUAGGGAAGAUUAGAAUAAUAUUCCGAAUAGAUAUGAGAGUAAAAUUUUUUUUUGGCUGAGUAUCAUUGAUUCAAUAUCUAUUAGUUUUGAAGUUUGAAAUAGAGUUAAUAGAAUACUAGAUGUUUUAAAAUCUAACAUUUAUAAUUUUAAUAGAGUAGUUAUUUUUGAGAAAGGGAAAACGUUGAAUUUUUUUUCUUGUAAUUAUUAACCAAAUAAAGUUUCAAAGGGUUAGAAUCAUUAUUAUACCAUAAAUAUUAUAUUUUUAUAAAAAAAAUUAUUUUUAAAGUAAAGAUUAUUAAAUAUAGAGAUAAUUAUGAAUGGGAGUAAUAAUAGGGAGAUGCCUAAAAAUUAAAUUUUCCUACAAUAUAUACGCAACUUUAAAAAAUUAGAAUCUUAAAAUAAAUAUUAUUAUUAUGUUAAUAAAUAGAUAUUCAAAAUACAAAACCAGACGACUACCUAAUUCGGGUAGUGCUAAAGGCAUCCCUCACUACUAAUUAGCUUACAUUUUAUCAUUUAAUGUUAUACAAGACAGCUUCUGUACCUAGGCGCUAAAGUUUUUGGAACAGCCAGCUUUAAUGGACAGCGCAUUCUUUGGGAAAGCCCUGGGGAAAUCGCUUGGUGUCAGUGCAGUAAAAAAAUUUAUCAUGUGAUUCUUCCGCACCCAGUAAAGCCUCCGUUGGUUUGUGGGAUCCAUUUGUUGCAAGAGCCAGGCACGGCUACCAUCAACCUUGAAGUUUCUGUAAGAAGCAGUGAAAGGAGCUUGGCUCCAAUCCGUCUUGAUUAGCCCACCUCUUGUAGCCCAGUCAUCAGCAUUCCAAAGAGAUGAGUAUAUUCUCAUUGGCUGAUUCUUUGGGAAUGGAACGCCUAUAGCCUCCAGGUUUUUGAACUCUCUAAUUGGAAUACCAUCAACAGAUAAUGACAUAUUGAUAAUGCAAUUAAUUGAACAACACAAGUCAAUAAAAUUGUUGAAGCGAAUGACAUAUUGAUAAGAGAGAAAUGGACUUUACACAAUGCGUUGAGGAUUCCAGAGAACUGAAUAAGUGUGAAAGUUGACUGCGGGGUCAAACCAGAGGUGAAAUUGCUGCUCUCUGUCACCCUUGCCUUGGCUGUACACAUUUGUGUGAACUGUGUACGGAUGACCACUGAGGUUUCCCAAGAAUUCAAAGUCUAUCUCAUCCCAUGUUGGUCCUUGUGAGCGUAGCUACAACAUCAAAGACUCUCAUAAUUAAUAUUAAUUAACAUCAUUACAAAGAAAUCAAUGAAAACAGCAGGUGUUGAUAAAAAGAAAAGCGUACAUAAUAAGCAGUAACAGUGCCAGCAGAGUUGCGGGGGACAAGCUUGAGUUGCAUAUCAAUCUUGCCGAAUAAGUGUUGUUUCUUGGACUGGAAGCCUGAGCCAGAGUAACGGUCGAGAUUGAGAGUAAGCAGUUGGCCGUUGUUGAAUAUGUUCCCACGACCAUCUCCCCAUGUGAUAUCAAAUUCCUCAUUGAAAUUACCAGCAGAAACAGCAGCUAAACACCCAACAAAAGUACACAUCAUCAUCCCAAACGAAUCAGAACCCAUAUCUUUCAGGAUUUUGGGAACUGGAGCUCGCUAUACCUAAUAGUGCAUAAAUUAUUACUAGGUUUGCAUGGAUGUAAUGUAAUGUUAAGUUUGAGAAUGAAGCUGAACCUGGAUCAGCUCAUGUGAGAGUGCCAGCUGGAGUUUACUUGAUAACCAAAGGAGAUGCUCACACAAGCAAGGUGAUGCAAUCCACACGUGCAGAGGAAGAAUAUUCCAGCUGGCAGAACAGUUACACAGAGAUUCCUCAGCCAUUAUGUGAUGUAGCAAAUUAGUUAUAGAUUAGUGGCUGUGAUUAAAACUGAGCUUACACACUUUACUUGCAUCUGUUAUCUCAUCCCAUCUGUUAUAUACAUCAGUAACUUUGUACAUUGUAAACUCAAUAAAACAGUUACAAUUCAUUGCUCGAAAUGAUCUAAAAAUCUCACAGCAUGGAUGUAAUGUAAUAUUAUAUAGGGGAUUGGAGUAUAGAAAUGGACAAAAGAGAGUGAAGAAGAGGGUGCGUUUGGAUGGUUGUUUCAUGUUUGCCGUUUCUGAGAGUGCAAAGUUGUCAACAGCUGGCUGUGCCAUGAAUUGAAAGAGAGGCAAAUUUGGCUGUUUCUCAUUUGCAGACAGAUUAUAUGACAUGGCCCCAAAUUCCAAAUGGGGUUCGGUGCCUGCAUGCAUACCCACUUGAUCUUGAAUUGCGAUCAUGAUUAUCCGGUACUCGCACAUAUCUAUGUAGAUACGGGUUUAGGUUGUACUUUUGCUUCUGCCGAUUCCACCACCAUGGUACUUUUGUACUUUUAUUGAAAUGCUGUCAAAUACAUUGUUGCCCACUUUCCAUUAAUUACCUCGAGAGUUGGGGAACAGAUUAUGUUGUAUUGUAUUCGUUCUCUUGGUUUGUACUUUUUAAUUUUCUUGCAACAGUAAGCUGAGAUACAGAGAUUUGAUUCUUUAUUUAAACAAAAAAAAAGGAGAGAAACCAGAAUGUAGGUCCAAAGAAUAAUGACAGUUGAGUACGAAGUCUGUUCAUGCAACCCACGAAUUGAUUCAUAAAAUUUUUGUAACCUUUCUUAUAACAACAUGCAGUAGUCUUUCUCUAGUGCGGACAUCCUUAUUUUAUUUUCAUGCGGAUAUACUUUAAAACCGUGGGAUUUAAGAGAAUUAACUUCUAACUCACUUAAGCCCCACGGUUUUACAGUUCAUUUAAAAACCAACUCUUUUAAACAACACUAUAUAAAAGUGUGUCCGUAUUAAAAAAAAAUGUGGCGUCCACACCUGAGAAUGAUUAUAACAUGCAGUAUCCCAAAAAAAAAAAAAAUUGGUAUUAAAGACAUUCAAAGUGUCAGUUCAAACAUAUUGUAAAGGAAAUUACACUUUAACACUCUCUAGCACUCUCUUCCAGCAUCUAGGCUGAAGCUUUCUCAAAAGACCCUGGCCGGCUUUGCCUUAAUAAACAAGUCGUUGAGGCAAAUUAGGACAUUGUUGGUGCAUGCUUUGGGUUCAGUGAUUAGUUAAUUACGUAUUAUAUAACUCGUCUUUCUUAACACUUGGUGACAUGUAUCCUGUGAGCAGUAUCACAACGGUAUAAAUUUUCAAUGUAAUAUACAAUCUCCCCAUGCAUGGGCGGCUACAUGUGACUUGGAUAAAAGCCAUGACGAAAUGAGAUUAUGGAUUGCUCUGCAUGAGUUAGGAAAGAAAAUUCUUAGGGUAAUUGAACACUGAACAAAAUCUGAAUAUUGUUCGAUUUAAGGAAAACAAUCAACUUUGUUAAAUUUUUUGCAGUUAUCUUUGGAAGAAGUUUGGGAUAAUUAUGCAAAUCAUAAAUGGCCCAUUAGAGCUCGGCCCGCAAGGUUCAUGAUUCUCGGCCUAAUUUCAUUUGGGCCUAGCAGGGACCUGAUGAGUCCUUAAUAUCAAUACCUACCCAUUUCUUCUUGAUAAUUGGCAUAUAUAAUAAGGGUCAAUAAUAUAUUAUAUUACUUUGUAGAAUAAUUAUCUAAUGAUGAGGAUGCCAACCGAAGUCCAAAAUGAAAAAAGAAAAAGAAAAAUGAAUUUUGAUGAAACCAUCCUACAUCAUUUAUUACUAUUAUUUAGAUGCAUCAAGUGGGAAGCGAUAUUCUUAUGUUAUAUAAUUGAUGGCAAUCAACAAACCCUAUUGAGAAAAGUAGAAGAAAGAAUAAAAAUAUAAUUGAAAUACGAAUUUCCAAACACUGAAUGGAUUAGAAAAGAUUCAUCGUCCUAAUUUUUGUUGGUGCAUUCUUGGGGGAGGCCCUGAGGGAACCGACUUGUGUCUGUGCAAUAAUUGUAAACCAUGUAAUUUUGCUGCACCCAUUUUAGCUUCCUUUGGCUUGAAGAGUCGAGCUCCUGUGAAAACCAUGUAUUUUUAGUUGUGGGAUUCGAGCUGCAAGAAGAUAUUCCGAUGGACCAAACACAAGCUUUUGCAUUGAAGUUUCUGAAGGAAGCAGUGAAGGGAGCCUGAGACCAGUCUGUUUUCGCCAGUCCCCCUCUUGUAGCCCAGUCAUCGGCAUUCCACAGGCUAGCAUACAUUCUCAUUGAUUGUUUUUUGGGAUACAGAAUGCCGAAUGAUUCAAGAUUCUUGAAUUCUCUGAUGGGUCUGCCAUCAAUAUAGAAGCUGAACAAAAAGAAAAUGUAAUAAAAAGUUAAUGCGAGCUUGAUAAAAUUAAAUCCAGGAUUCGAAUUUCGCUCACAUCAGGGUUGUGUAUGUACUAACACAAUGUGACCUGGAUUCCAGAGGAUUGAAUAAGUGUGAAAAUCGGCAGUGGGAUCAAACCAGAGGUAGAAUUGUUGCUCUCUGUCACCUUUUCCUUGUGUGUAGACAUUUGUGUGAACAAUGUAAGGGUUGCCACUCAAAUUCCCCAGGAAUUCGAAGUCUAUUUCAUCCCAUGAUGCCCCUGGAGAUUUUAGCUGCACCAUAGCAAGUCUACGUAUCAGCAUAAUGAUGUGACGACUGACAAACAAAUUAUAUGUGAAAGGGAACAAGAAUCUUUCAUUAAGGAGCUUACAUAGUAGGCAGUGACAGUGCCAGCAGAGUUGUUGGGAACAAGCUUGAGCUGCAUAUCGAAUUUUCCAUAGAGAAAUUCAUUCUUAGACUGGAAGCCAGAGCCAGAUGCUUUGUCGAGAGACAGAGUAAGAAGCUUGCCUUUGUUAAGAAUCUUGGCACGUCCAUCACCCCAUGUAAUAUCAACAUCGUUGUUAAAAUUACCAGCAUUUGCAACAAUGAAAGAGCUUGUGACAAUAAAAGAGAACAAGAAAAUUGGAUAUGAAGAAUAAGAAUAGCAAGCCAUUGACUUCGGGAACGUUAUGCAACUUAGUUUGACACACUUGAGAAUACUGAGUUCCAGGCUAUUUAUUGGAGCUACUGGUUAGUGCAUCGAAUGUUCGCCAAAUAUUGAAAUGUAUAGUUGGUUGGUGGGGCGAGUUGAGAACUGAACAGCUGGAUAGCAAAAACAAGUGCACAUUGAAAAUGGGCAUCUUUGUCAUAACUUUAAGCCAGUCAAAUUGCUUACGGGCAUUAUUUUACAGGAGAGAUGAGCAUAGUUGCUACUUGCUUCCUAGGUUAUUUCCACCUACCCCUGAGCAUUUGGCAUAUCCACCGACAAAUAAUGCGAUGCCACUUCCAUGAAAAUUUGUUUUCUAGUAUGUUCUAGUGGACACCCAGAAGUUGCCAGAUCAAAGAGAAAUGGUUUUGGAUUUACUAUAUUGUAGCAUUAGAUUUCCCCACUUCCCUCUUGGGAUUCUGAAAACAUCGAGGGAGACCAUGAAAGUUUUUAAGGCUGAAAAAAUAGGGCAUACCCCAUGGAAAAUGUAAUAGCAUUAUAUAUAUCCAGAAGAAACAGCAGCUGCCAGAAGCUUGUAACCCUAUGUCAACAAAAUAUAAAGUAACCAAAUGGGCAACGCAUAACCAUUGUAAUUGAACCAAAAGAGUUUCAGCCGGGUCCCCCAUGUCAUAUACUAUAACAAACCAAAAAUCUAUACUUUUAAUGACAUAGGAAGCGGGAAUAGUAUUUAUGAAUCAGUGUGAUUUAUAAAAGGAUACCCACAUCCACCUUAUUUAAAAAUUUGCAUGGCAAUCAAGACAAAUUUAAAAUCUAUCAACAUGAGGCACUUGCAACGUGAGAGAAAUUGGAUCCACAACUAAAAUAGAAAAUAGAGUCUUCUAAGAAAAUAAUCCAUUAAUAGUCCUAGAGAAAAAUCUAUGGAAAUGUUCACAUCAAGCACAAAAUUAGUAGUAACUAUGACUACGGUUUCAAUCAACAAAUCUGUCAAAGCCAGUCAUCAUCGAUCAUUGAAGGAUAAAAAAAUGGCAGAGUUAGAAUUUCCGCGAGUUAUGAUAAUCCGGAUCAAAGCAAUUGUCGUCAGAAGGGUCCUUCAAAAAAUCAUCCGGGGGACAUUCAUUUAACUGUUCAAAUUUCAUAUCGCUCUCCAAAGCUUGAAAUGGUCUUGCUGCUGCAGCUGAUGAUGAUUCUGCCACUUGAUUAGAAGUAGCAAACAUAUGUUGAUGAGGAUAUGUGUGGAAAGGUCUUGCUGCUGCUGAUAUGAUAUUUCUGCAGGUUGAUUAGGAUUCCGAUUUGAAGUAGCAAACAUAUGUUGAUGAGGAUAUGCCUGGAAAGGUCUUGCCCUUGCUGCUGCUGAUGAUUCGGCAGCUUGAUUAGGAUUCUGAUUAGCAGUCGGAAUCAUUAUAUGUUGAGUCCAUGGAGAGCUCUGCCCCAUAGGAUUGUUAUACGAAUAUGGAGCAAUUGCAGGGAACCUCCCCUGAGAAACUGAAACUGAAACAUUUUGAUUAGUCAUUCCAGGGAACCUUCCUUGAGAAUCUGAAACAUCGUGAAUAGCCAAUCGAGGGAGCCUUCCUUGAGAAUAGGGAACAUUGUGAUUAGGCAUUCCAGUGACCCUGCCUUGAGCAUAUGGAACAUUGUAAUUAGGCAUUUCAGGAACCCUGCCUUGAGAAUAUGGGACAUUGUGAUUAACAAAGUGGCUCUGAUGAUAAAUGAAAGUAUCAUCAUAUGAAUUGAGAAAUCCUCCCUGAUUGUAGAAACCAGACAUAUCAAUGAUUCGGGGACCUUCAGGACCGUGAGGCAUGAAAGUUUCAUUGGGCAGCGUAGCAGAGUCUUCAACUCCAAUAUCAAUGGCUCCAUUAUCCUGAAAUUCAGUGUCUGAUUGUGGAUCAUCUUGGCCUGAAAUUGAAUCAUCCUGUCGCGAAGUUGAAGGUCUUGAAGACGACAGCUUAGAUCUAUCAUGGUCCCUUUUCUUAUAUAUCUUACAGAGUACCCAAUCAUCUAACUGCAAUCAACAAAAUAUAUAAAAGCAAAACUCAUCAGCAAACCAACAUUGUAAAAUCGCUGCAACACUUCACAUAUGAUACUGAAAGAAACCACAAAAUUUAGUUACCCUCAUGUCAUCUCCGCUGAUUCUGGUCCUUGGAGGACCCUCCAAUCUAAAUUCAUGCAUUAUCCAUUCAGUUUUAUCUCCCCUUGGGGGUUUUCCCAUGUAGAAGACCAAUGCCUUCUUGAAUCCAACGACAACGUCGUCGUUUUUUAUAGGUUUGUCAGCUCCAGUUGCCUUCCAGAAUCCAUCUCCAGCAGCUCUAUUGGGUCUUGUCCCGUUUUUGUACUUUCUCUCUCUUGGAGUAAAAAAGUACCAUUCAUUCUCACCAAACGGCUUAUACUUUUCUGUGCAUUAUUAAUACAGAAUCAUCAUUGUAUCAAUCACCCAAAAAAAAAAAAAAAGAUCUACACUUCCUGAAUCCAUUAUAUGGAAUACGGAAUAAUAUCAACAUAAAUAUUUAGUCUUUGUUUUGGAUACAUAUAAGUACCAAACUACGAGACCAUAUGUAGAAAAUUAAAUCAGCAUUCAACAACGCCAAGAAGUAACUUUUAAGUCAAGAAACUGAAGAGCAAACCAUUUUAUGUCAAGAAACUCAAGAAAUGCCCACUCCAAUUACAAAUGAACUCAAGAAAAGCACUAAGAGCAUUACCAAAGUACGAAAACAAAUCAAAUUAUGAGACUAUAUGUAUAACGAACGCAAAGGAAACACUUCUAACUCAAGAAACUAAACCAUUUCAAGAAACUCAAGAAGUUACACUCUAAUUAAUAACCAAAUGAACUCAAGAAAAAGAAAGAACUUAAUAUGCGUAAGUGCAUUACUUAAUUUAAAGAAAAAUACCAGCAAGGCAAUUGCAAAAAAACAAAAGAAACAAAAAAGAGAAAUGGGGUGGUGGGUAUUUUUAACCUGAAAGUGUAUCAGGAUUAAAUUUGUACAAGUGAACUUCCUUAAUCCGAUUUGGUGGCAAAGGUUCAUUCAUUCUCUUCCUCCGCAAGUAAUGAACUAGAAGCUCUAUGUCGUGAGGCUUGAACCUGUAACCAGGAGGAGAGUUAUCAUCGAACUCAGGACCCUGAGUAGCAUUCAUCCAAUUCCGCACAGGUGGUGAAGCAUCACGAGUAUGAUCUAUAGGCCUUUUUCCUUUAGGGCCUUGGCCAUUAGGGUUUUUACCAUUGCGGUCUUGGUCGUUAGGGUCUUGGUCCUUAUCUCUCUGCUGCUGGUCCGGCAUUGAUAACUUUUACCGAAACUUGAAGGAGACGUUGCUUUCCCUAUAAAAUUGACCUCACAAGAAUAUUUGUUGUGAUCAGAUACAUGGGCUGUUAGGGCCCUUAUAGUUUAUUUUAUUUUAAUUGCUUGUUUUAAUUUCUUUUCUAUUAGUAUUAGGUUUUCUUAUUUGAAUUAAAGUCCUUAUUAAAUUAAUAUUAGGAUUGUCUUGAACUACUAUAAAUUAGUGGUUCUUAUUAUGUUUUUAGGAGACAAGUAAUAUAUUUAAUUCUAAUUCCUAUUAAUGCUUCUCCCUUCUCUUUAAAUUCUUCAUCUAUUCUCUUUUAAUUCUCUAAUCAAAAUCCUAGAAUCCUAUCAUAUGGUAUCAGAGCACAUCCUUACUGCCACCAUUUUUUUUUUCUUUCACUAUUUGAAAAAAAAAAACCAGCAACCAAACUUUUGUCAAUAUCUCUUGGCUUUUGGAGACUUGAACCGAGCCCACCCUCCAAACUUUUUCCAGCAUCUAAAUUUUUCAACCAAACGUAAAUUUUCUUUGGACUUUUUUUUAGGCAUCAUGAAUGUUAAGGAGCUUGAAGGCCAAGUUGAGCAGUUAUCACAACAAUUCCAUGACAAGUUUACAGCCAUCGAUGACAAGGUUACAACCUUAGCCAAGUAGAAUAACGAUUUGCAGGAACUCAUGCACGGCAUCCUUCAGCAAUUGAGUCAGCUGCGAAAAGGCAAACUACCAGCUACUGAUCAACGACAAGUUGAUAUAUUUACUGGAGGGACCUCUGCUCCUCAAACGGUAAUUGCUACCCAACACCCUCUUGAACCUACUGAACGCAUUGGAAGUACUCUCGUGCAAGCUCGUAACAUACGCCUUGACUUUCUUAUUUUUCAUGGUGACAAUCCAACGGGAUGGAUUUUUCGAUGUGAGCAAUAUCGUCGUCUUACUGGAUUAUCAGAUGUUGACUUAUUGUCUUUAGCUAUUGGCCAUCUUGAUGGUGAUGUUGUACCUUAGUUUCAUUGGCUAGAACAGACUAUGAGCGAAAUGACUUGGGCACAAUUUAAACGGGCUUUGACUACUCGAUUUGAGACAUUAGGAAAGAAUGAUGCAGUUGGCAGUCUUACCAAACUACGUCAAACAGGGACUGUUCUUGACUAUCAACGACAAUUUGAAAAGUUGGCUGAUCGGACUAGCAAUUUAACUGAGCCUUUCUUCAUUAGUUGUUUCCUCUCUGGGUUACGUGAAGAUAUCAAGGCUGUCGUACAACUAUUCAAACCUGUUAGUCUCCUACAAACUUUUGAACUUGCUAGAUUUCAGGAAAAAGCAAUUGUUCCCCUAUUCCUGCCAUCCAAGAUCCACUCCCACAAUUACAGUCAACUCCUACUCCAGCAGCACCCUCUUUAUUAGGACUGAUUCCCUCUAUCUUACCUAAUAAUGUCAAACGUUUAUCCUCAGCCGAGCAGGCGAAAAGACGUUCUAAAGGACUUUGUUUCAACUGUGACGAGCAAUUCAAGCCUGGACAUCGUUGCAAACAAUCUCAACUAUUGCUUUUAGACGCUGAUAUACCUCUUCACAACCCACCAAAACCACCUGACCAUCAUGCGGAUUGGAAGAUCUCGGUUAUUGAGACUGGGUAAAAGGCUUGCGGACAAGCCUGUUUUAAGCGGCGGGGAAUGUUAAGACCCUAAUAGUUAUUUUAUUUUAAUUGCUUGUUUUAAUUUCUUUCCUAUUAGUAUUAGGUUUUCUUAUUUCAAUUAAAGUCCUUAUUAAAUUACAAUUAGGAUUGUCUUGAACUACUAUAAAUAAGUGGUUCUUAUUAUGUUUUUAAGAGGCAAGUAAUAAAAUUAAUUCUAAUUCCUAUUAAUUCUUCUCCCUUCUCUUUAAAUUCUUCAUCUAUUCUCUCUUAAUUCUCUAAUCAAAACCCUAGAAUCUUAUCAUGGGCUUAUUUUAUACUAAUAUAUUUGGAUUAUAUAAUAUUAAAUAAAGUAGAUACUUUUUCUAACUGAUCGGUUUAUCAAACGGUUUUUGGAAGGCGAUUUAUCCUUUGGAUUCAGUUAAGAUGCCAAUCUAUCGGCGGUCAAUGAUUUGAUGGUUAUGAUUGAGUUCAAUGAUUCCAGAAUGUGUGCUUUAGUAGCUGUCAUUGAAGCUGAUGUGGCGAAAUGUGAUAGUUUCUGCUGAUGUAGUUGAUUGAGAAGCAGUAAAAUUCUUCAAAGUAGAAGAAGAAUAGAAGUUAUUUUACUGCCGUAUCUUUUAGCAAAAUGAGAGAAUAUAGGACAGCUUUUCCCUUGUAGAAGACCAAUGCCUUCUUGAAUCCAACCAAACUGCCAUUGUGCUUAACAGGUUUAUCAGCUCCUGUGGCCUUCCAGUACCCAUCUGCAGCAGCUCGAUUGGGUCUUAGACCAUUUCGAUACUUUCUAUCUCUUGGUGUAAAGAAAUAACAUUCCAUUUCACCAAGUGACUUGUACCUUUCUGUAAAUCAUUGCAUCAGUGGACAGAAUAAAAGAAAUUUCAUAAAGAAAUCAUGAAACAAAAAAAAUAUAGACAAACUAAUACGAAAGAAAUAACAUAUUAUAAACGUUUUGAAUAUGAGGGGAUUAAAUUUUAUAUGCUGAUUUACAACACCAUCUAAAUCUAAAAUCAUACCUGAUGUAAAAUCCCAUCACAUUAAAAUAAACACUGUAAUAUUAUAUAUGUAAUGGCAUAAACAUCUAUCGUGAAAAAGAGUAGAGAAGCCAGAAAUAUCCCAAGCGAAGACUACAAAAUUUGAAUAAUGAAGAGUAAAGAAGCCACUAACGAGACUCAGAAAAUUUCCAUUAUAAUAAAUAAUAAUCUCGAGAAAUAAGGAAUAAACAGAUUUUUUUUUAAAAAAUAAUAAUCAUAUAUGAUGCGUGCCAAUAAAACAACAUACAACACAGAAAUUGAGAAAAUAAGAAAUUAAAAGUGACUUUUUUUUCCCCUAACCUGUAAGUGUGUUAGGAUUAAACCUAUACAACUCCACCACCUUGAUCUGGUUUGGAGGCAAUGGCUGAUUCAGUAUCUUCCUCCGCAAGUAAUAAACCACAAGUUCUCCAUCGUGGGGUUUGAAUCGGUAACCAGGCGGGAAUGAAUCAAAAUAAGAAUCAUCAGCGAUCAGAUGAUGACCAGUACUCUUCACAGGAUGCCGUACAAGUGAAGCAUCGUCACUUUGCUUUUUAGGGCUUUCUCCAUUAGGGUUUUCUCCACAAGGGUUUAUCCCUUCAUCUCCACAAGGGUUUAUCCCUUCGACCCCCAGCUGCUCCUUCUGUUUUUGGUCCUUCAUUCAGAACUUAGGAAAAUGAUGCAGAUGAAAAAUGGACCAAAUAGAAGUGAUAGCUAGCUACUUUGUUCGUUGUGAUAAGAUUUAUGUGACUUCAUACAAAUAUUUUGGGAUAUCAGGUAGCUAUUAUUUCUAAUUUGAUUAAUUGAAGUUUUACUUUUGUGUUUAUCAAAUAAGUGUAAAGUUAUCUUUUUGCCACGUGCAAAUGAUGCUGGAGCCUAAGAUGUCGGGGAAACGUGGCGGUGAAUUUCAGUUGAUGGAGCUAAUUUGGAGGAGUCAAUAUCUGUCAACACAUUUAAAGGUAAAGUUUAAUUUCAAAACAUUAAAAAGAGGCAAGUUUGGGAUUGAGUUGCUACAAAAGUUAUUAAUAUUAAUUAUUACUGUGUAAAUGUUUGAUAAAAAUAUUAGCUGUUAAGUUAAUUAUGUAAAUAUGACAGCUCAAAAUAUUCUGAAAUUGUUUUGCUCUUUAUAUUCAUAUCAUCUUGCUAAAACUUUAUUAUCAUUUAACAGUAAUUAACGACGAGCACCAUUGAACUUUAUUAUAUCUAGACACAAUAUGUAUAAAGAUAGAGUGGUUGUGCAACUCAAGAUCCAAUUGAAGUCAAAGGUUUCAUUUUAUAAGAUUCAUUAUGUCUCCUCAUGAAUCAUGACCAAGUACAUAAUUCUUCUUUUUUGGUUACGAUUUUCUUAUUGUCAAGAUUACUAGAAAGAAAAGUGAAGAAAAAUAUAUUAAGACUUGUUGUAAUCUUAAGAUAAUCAUUUUUACUCUCGGCGAUUAUAAAAGUCAAUAAGUAGUACUAACAUGAAAGAAGUAAAGAUCUCAACGGCGUUGUUGAAUAGUUUAAAAAUGUAUGCAUUUAAAGAUUGGGACCAAUUAAUAACAGGCAUAAACUUUGAUUUAAUUCAAAUAAUAUGUGGGCUCCCGAACCCACAUGGGCCAUUCAAUUUAGAAAAUUUUGGAACCGUUUAGACAUUGGGUGACACUAUUGGCACACCUGUUAAUCCUCUUAAAACCCCUAUUCCAACAAAUUAUAAUUAAAGAUAAAUAUAAAUAAAAUUAAUUGCACUUAUAUUUUUUCUCUCUUGAAUCUAUUUUUAAAAAUAAAAUUUGAGUGUAUAAUCAACUCUUAAAUAACAUCUUGUAAUACCUUGAACAUCUUCAAACGCUAAUUAAAUCCUCAUUUAAUUACCGAACUUAAAAUUUAUACAUAAGUUGAAUCAUUUUAUUGUAAAAUAAUUUUACUACUAACCAAAUUCAACAUUGAAUAAGAUUUAAUCAAAUUAUUUAUUUAAAAAACUAGAAAAUACAUUCAAAAUUUUAAAAUGCAGCGCACUGAAAAAAAAAAUUCUCAUUUGUUUAGAUACAUAAAAAUUAACUAAAAUUAUGAAAAUUAACUCUUUAGAAAAUUAUAUUUAUUUAUUUAAUUAUAUUUAUUUUAUAUUAUUAUUGGAUAAGAUAUAAUAUGGUGUUAAUAUAAUUAUAUUUUAACUUAUUUAUUUAUUAGUAAGCACUAAUGCCACAUUUACAAGUUUUAUUUUUUAACUAAAUAAAUAUUUUUUUUUUUUACAGAUUCGCGGAUUUCUGCAAAUUUAUAAAAGUAAAUCUAUAUUCAAUCCACCAACUGCGAAUUUUUUAAUUUUCAAUCUAAUCCAAUCUAUCAAUUCACAUAUCGAAUUUUUAUAGAUCAAAUUUCUAUAAAUCAGACGAAUUGAGCGAAUUGAAUUGGAUUUUGAACACCCUGCUCAUUUUCUUAAGCAUAUUUUGGGACUAUUCAAAGUACGGAAACUGCUCCAAAGUCAUCCUAAUCACAUAGGGCUGAGCCCAGCCGGUCAGUAGAUGCGGAAACUAUAUAGAGUGGUCAAAAAGCACCCAUCAGCCAAAAUUUCAACGUGUUAAUAAACCAUGCUUAGGGCUGUCACUUGUGUGACAUGCAUAAAUCCGCAUUUUCGCAGUUUCUUUUCACUAAUUUCAGUCUUUGCCAUCUGUUUCCCGCCCUUGCUCUUUGCCCCACAAGUGCUAGCCUAAUCCUUGACUCGUACUCUUCCCCAUCAUCUCUCUUAUCUCUUAAAAUUUUCAUUGUUCUUUUUCCAAAUGGCAAAUCGCUUCUUUCUUUUCAUCUCUAUAAAAAUCCAAAACUAUAACAAAAUUUUAAAUAUCGCACAAUGGCUGCGGCUAAAUCACUAGUAGUGCUGAUAAUGCUGUCUGCUUUAUUAUCUAACUCUUUUGUGUUAGUUUUACCAGCUAGUAAUUUUUAUCAAGAUUUUGACAUCAUAUGGGGAAUUGACAAGGUCAGGAUUCUCAACGAUGGAGAAGUCCUCAAUCUUUACCUUGGCAAAGACACAGGCUCAGGUUUCCAGUCUAAGAAUGAGUAUCUAUUUGGCAAAAUUGACAUGCAAUUCAAGCUUGUCCCAGGCAACUCUGCUGGCACUGUCACAUCUUACUAUGUAAGGCGUAAGCUGCCAGUGAUCUUGCACGAAAAUGUUUUUCUCUUUAAGAGUAAGCUUAUUUUUAAUUCUGUGUUAUAGUCGUCAUCACAAGGAUCAACAUGGGAUGAGAUAGACUUUGAGUUCUUGGGAAAUCUCAGUGGCGAUCCUUAUAUUUUUCACACAAAUGUAAUCACACAAGGCAAAGGUGACAGAGAGCAGCAAUUUUAUCCCUGGUUUGAUCCCACUUCAGAUUUUCACACAUAUUCCAUUCUCUGGAAUCCCAAAACCAUCGUGUAAGAAUUUCAAUCCACUAAUCAUCUCUUGUUGAAAACAAGCAACAAUUCAAGUCACUAAUUAAUCCUCUUCUUUUUUUUAUUAGACGUGUCUCUUUUUUUUGGUUUAAUACUUCAUAUAUUCUUUGGGCGCUUUUGGGUUAAAAAGGCUCUCUAACAUUUUUGUUUAAAAACGUUUUCAGAUUCUAUGUCGAUGGCACACCGAUUAGAGAGUUCAAGAACUUGGAGUCAAUCAACAUUCCUUACCCAAAAAACCAACCAAUGAGAAUACACUCGAGUCUCUGGAACGCUGAUGACUGGGCAACAAGAGGCGGUCUUGUCAAAACAGAUUGGACAAAAGCUCCAUUUACAGCUUCUUGUAGAAACUUUAAUGCCAAAACUUGCAUUCGUUACCCAGCAGGUCCAAUCAUUUCUGCGCCUUGCCCUUCGAAUUCUUCAUCCUCUGCAUGGAUGAAGAUCGAUGAGCUUGAUGAAACAAGCCGAGAGAAACUCAAGUGGGUGCAGAAGAAUUACAUGAUUUAUAAUUAUUGCACAGACACAAAGCGCUUCCCAAAAGGGCUUCCUCCUGAGUGUGCUGUGGCCACGAGUGCUUACAUAGAUUCCGUACGAGUAUAAACAUAUAUAUAAUAACAAUACUUUAUAUCAUAAUUUUGGUAGAGUUAUACAAUACUGGUGUGUUUAUUUCCCUGAUUGGACGGAAUCAUUAAUAGCAUUUAUUUUAUCAAAUAAGUAUGGGAAUGAAAGACUAAUUCUCAAUGGUUGAUUUUUGGAAAUAAAAAAUCUGUUUCCAUUGAAAUUUUAACAUUCUGAAAAUACCUUCAUUCAAUUAAAAAAAUUUAAAUAAAAAAAAACCACAGCAAACAGUCGCUGUAAAUUAAAGCCUCACCGAUUUUCAUCGUCUUCACCAAACUGUCAUUGCAAAAAUCAACGCAUUGGUCAUCGCUGACCGUUGAGCAGCAGCAAUAGCAACAACGAUCUAGCAGCAGCAACAAUCACUGAUGAUGAUUGUUGAGAAUUCAGGUUGUGAAGAACCAACAAUUGAUCCCAAGGCCCUGCUGGCAUGCUACCUGAGCAACCAUUUCCAAAGACCAGCUGAUGAGGAAGGUGAGGUGUAUCCUAUGAGCUGGCAAAACUGUUACGCUGAGGAAUAUCAACAUGUGAACUCUGCAAGCUGGAAAUUUCUAGAACGUUUUCAAUGAUUGGUUGCGCAGCUAUCAUUCUUUGUCUUAUUCAUUUUCAGCAGCUCCUUGAGCAAGCAAUUGUCGUUUUUAGUUCAAGUAUAAAUAUAUGAAACAAUUGUAUUUUUAUUUUUAAGUAAUCAUAAUAAAAAGGAAUGUUUGUUUCUCUGCUGCUUGCAUAUUCAAGCAAUUCAUUAAGAAUUUAAGUUGGUAUCAGAGCAACUUUAAGCUAUGGAAAGCAGCAGAAAUUCACAAACAAACAUGAAUCAAACACUGGAAAAUCCAGACGACCAAAACUUGAAUCAAAAUCAACCAGAAAAUGUUGAUGACCAGAAUCCAAACAACUACACCAGAAAUAUGACCACAGUGAAUCCAUCUCCUACCCAACACAUCACCAGCAACACAUAUGUGUUCACUAAUCCUAUCAAGCUAACACAGAACAAUUUUAUGCUCUGGAAAUCACAAGUGAUUUCCAGCAUAAGAGCAAAUGAGCUCGAAGGCUUCAUAAAUGGGAGCCAUAUUUGUCCCCCCAGAUGUUUCAUUAAUCCUGGACCUAAUCAAACUAUUAUUACCACCACAAAUCCAGAAUACCAAAUCUGGAAGAAACAAGACCACAUUCUUCUGAGCUGGUUGCUCUCAUCACUCAGUGAAGGUGUGCUUGGCACUGUGGUGGAUUGUUCUACUUCAUGUGAAGUAUGGACAACUCUUGCCAAUCAAUAUGGUGCAAGAACAAGAGCUAGAGUUCUAUACUUGAGAACACAGAUUCAAACCACCAAAAAGGGGUCCCUUAUAAUUCAUGACUAUUAUUCCAGAAUGAAAACUAUCCUAAACACUCUUAGAGCAGUUGGAAAUAAUAUGACUGAUGAGGACUUCAUUAUGUGUGUUUUAGCUGGAGUAAGACCUGAAUAUGAUUAUGUAGUCACUAAUAUUAAUUCUAUGCCAGAAACUCCCUCAUUAUCAGAAGUGUAUGGAAUGCUCCUCAGCCAAGAAACUAGAACUGAACAGAACCUCAGCACAGGGUCACUUGAGGCCAACUUCACACAAAUGAGAAAUGGUAGAAGGAAUUGGGGGUAUGGUGAGAGAUUUGGUAAUCAACAGCAACCUGGGAUAGUCUUUAGAACCCCUGGUGGUAGCUUUGGAAAUGGUGGAAGUGGUGGUCCUGGUCAGGCAAGCCAAAAUGCUCAAGACAAAGGGAAAGGCAAGGCUGUUGCAGAAAAUGAAGGCUCUGAAUCAAAGGGUCCAUGCGAGAUAUGCUUCAAAAUGGGUCACACAGCUGCUGAAUGCUGGCAUAUAUUCAAGAAAAAUUAUGUACCACAACCAAAUAGGAGAAGAGGAGCAUACAUGGCCUCAGCAGAAGGACAAAGCAUCAAUGCCUGGUACCUUGACAGUGGUGCAACAAAUCAUGUAACCAAUGCCAUUGGGAACAUGAACUUGAACUCAGAAUACCAAGGUAAUGACAAGCUCAUUGUUGGUAAUGGUAAUAAACUUCACAUCUCUCAUAUUGGUUACUCCAUGUUACCUACUUACAAUCCACACAAGCACAUCAAACUAAAUCAUAUUCUUUGUGUGCUUGAUAUUGCCAAGAACCUUAUUAGUGUUUCUAAACUGCUUCUUAAUAAUGAUAUUAAUGUUGAAUUUCAUAAAUCUGUUUGCUUUAUCAAGGACAAGAGCCAAGGGAAAAUUCUGGUGAAAUGAGUGGCUAGAGAUGGACUAUACGAGCUACUAUGCAUGCCUACUCACUUGAGUGGCAAUAAGGUCACAUAUGCUGCUGAGUUAUCUUCCUUUUCAGAGUCUGAGUCAAUAAGUUGCAUUAACAAUCCUAUGUCAAUGAUGUGUUUCAAUUUCAGUAUUGGUAGUAAUGAGUCUGUCAGUACCAGUAUAGCUGAGUCUAGUGAGGCUGAUAAAACAAGUAGUAGGAACCUUAGAACCAAUGAUAUGGAUCUUUGGCACCAUAGGCUGGGGCAUCCAAAUUUGUCAGUUCUAAGAAACACUCUACUCUCAUGUAAUCAGCUCAAUAUCAAUAAAAACAUUUUUCCUUCAUUUUGUAAUGCCUGUCAGUAUGGAAAGCAAGCAAAACUGAGCUUCAAAAGCAUUGAAACCAAAACCAGCACAGCCUUAGAAUUGGUUCACAGUGACCUCUGGGGACCAACACCUAUACCAUCAACCCAUGGACAUAAAUAUUACAUAUCCUUUGUGGAUGAUAGAACUAGAUACACAUGGCUGUUUCCUCUAAUAGCAAAAUCACCGGCCCUUGACACAUUCAUUGUGUUUAAAACUCAAAUAGAAAAUCAGUUAAAUCUGAAAAUCAAGGCCUUACAAACAGACAUGGGUGGAGAGUUUAAAACAUUUGAACCAUAUCUAAAAAGGGAAGGAAUAGCUCUAAGACACUCAUGUCCAUAUUUACAUGAACAAAAUGGAAAGAUGGAAAGAAAACACAGACAUAUUGUGGAAACAGGUCUAGCAUUGUUAGCUCAAGCAAGAAUGCCCUUAAAGUAUUGGCAAAAAGCCUUCAGCUAUGCCACUUACCUCAUAAACAGACUGACCUCACCUACACUCGAAAACAAAACUCCAUUUGAGCUGUUAUAUCUCACCAAACCAGAUUACUCACAAAUCAAAAUUUUUUGCUGUGAAUGCUAUCCAUACUUAAGACCCUACAACAAGCAUAAGUUUGACUUCCAUACAUCCAAAUGCAUACUGCUGGGUAUCAGUAUCAGUCAUAAAGGCUAUGUUUGCAUGCAUCAUUCAGGAAGAGUCUACAUUUCAACUAGUGUCAAGUUUAAUGAAAGCUCAUUCCUUUUUCAAAAUGACUCAAAUUUCUGCAAGCAUAGGCUAACUGAUCAAAAUAUGUCCCCCACAAUCCUUGAAAAGUUUCAAGUUGUGUCCUUUUCCACAAGUGUUCCCUCUGAGUCAACACAACAAAAAUCAGCUCAUAGUCAAUCUCAAGCCACUGCUGGAAACUCAGAACAGCUCUCAAAUCCUGUUCAAGAUGAAGCAUAUGAGAAUUUGAACCUCAACACUAUGUCAGACAACCAAUCCCCUACUCAACUCCCAUCAAACUUCUCAGAAGAAAACUGCAGCAUGCCACCUAUAACAGAACCAAACACUCAAGCCUCCAACACUCAAAAGGAAUUACCUUCGCAUCCCAUGAUCACAAGAUCAAAGGUAGGAAUCUUUAAACCAAAAGUCUACCAAACAUCUACACAAACUAAAACCUCUUUACCCCAAGACUCAAUUGUGGCAUUGAAGGACCCUAAAUGGAGAAGAGCCAUGGAAGAUGAAUACAAUGCCUUAAUAAAAAACCAAACCUGGACCUUAAUACCACAUGACCAGAAUUACAAACUCAUUGGAAAUAAGUGGGUGUACAAAGUAAAGGAGAAUCCAGAUGGUACCAUAAAUAGAUACAAAGCCAGACUUGUCGUGAAAGGUUUUCUACAGACACCAGGACUUGAUUUUAAUGAGACCUUCAGCCCUGUGGUCAAAGCUGCAACCAUCAGAAUCAUUCUAACUUUGGCUGUGAAUAAUGAUUGGAUGUUGAGGCAAGUUGAUAUAAAUAAUGCAUUUUUGAAUGGAGAGUUGACAGAAACAGUGUACAUGCCACAACCUGAGGGGUUUAAAGACAAAAGAAAGCCAAAUCACAUUUACAAACUCAAGAAGGCUCUUUAUGGUUUGAGACAGGCACCCAGAGCCUGGUUUGACAAAUUAAAGAGUGCUUUGUACUCUUGGGGGUUCAACAAUUCAAAGUGUGAUACCUCAUUAUUUUUUAGAAGGAACAAUGCUGAAAUGGUUAUUGUACUUGUGUAUGUGGAUGACAUAAUUGUCACUGGAAGUGAUAGCAAAGGAAUUGAGGGUGUGAUAGGAAAGCUAAGUGAAGCUUUUGCAUUGAAAGAUCUAGGAAAUCUGAGCUACUUCCUUGGGAUACAGGUCAUAAGAAAUCAGAAUUCUAUUUUGCUUUCUCAAGCUAAAUAUGUCCAAGACUUGUUAACCAAAACCGAGAUGGAGAGCUGCAAAGGAAUAGAGUCUCCAUUCAGCACAUCAGAGAAGCUAAAGAAUGGAGAAGGUGCCAAGCUUGACAACCCUUCACUCUACAGAAGUGUUAUAGGAAGCUUGCAGUAUACUGUUCUAACAAGACCAGAACUUGCUUACUCUGUCAACAAGCUGAGCCAAUACAUGUCUGACCCAAGACAACCUCAUUGGAUAGCCUGCAAACGAGUGUUGAGGUAUCUAAAGAACACUACUAACAUGUGUUUACAAUUCCAAAAGUCAGAACAUCUUGAUUUAGUAGCCUACACAGAUGUUGACUGGGCAAGUGAUCCAGAUGACAGAAGAUCAAUAAGUGGAUAUUGUGUGUUCCUAGGAGAUAAUUUAGUAGCUUGGAGCUCAAGGAAACAAGGAAUGGUAGCAAGAUCUACAGCAGAGUCAGAGUACAGAGCCAUGGCUCUAUGCACCACUGAAAUCACUUGGAUUAACUCUCUGUUUGAUGAGCUGAAGAUUGAAAUGCAAAGAACUCCAAUGAUUCUGAGUGAUAGCACAAGUGCAGCAGCAAUAGCCACAAAUCAUGUGUAUCACUCAAAAACAAAACACUUUGAAAUAGAUCUGCACUUCAUUAGAGAUAAAGUCACUCAAGGAGAGCUGGAAAUAAGCUUUGUGGCUAGCAGAGACCAAAUUGCAGACGUUUUAACCAAACCAUUGCCGUACUACAAGUUCAGUCAAUUUCGAAGCAAACUCAAUGUCUUUGACAAGACCUUAAAUUUGAGAGAGGGUGUUGAGAAUUCAGGUUGUGAAGAACCAACAAUUGAUCCCAAGGCCCUGCUGGCAUGCCACCUGAGCAACCAUUUCCAAAGACCAGCUGAUGAGGAAGGUGAGGUGUAUCCUAUGAGCUGGCAAAACUGUUACGCUGAGGAAUAUCAACAUGUGAACUCUGCAAGCUGGAAAUUUCUAGAACGUUUUCAAUGAUUGGUUGUGCAGCUGUCGUUCUUUGUCUUAUUCAUUUUCAGCAGCUCCUUGAGCAAGCAGUUGUCGUUUUUAGUUCAAGUAUAAAUAUAUGAAACAAUUGUAUUUUUAUUUUCAAGUAAUCAUAAUAAAAAGGAAUGUUUGUUUCUCUGCUGCUUGCAUAUUCAAGCAAUUCAUUAAAAAUUUAAGUAUGAUGUCGACGACGACGAUGAUAUUACGAUCCAGAUCCGAUUCUGAUUUGUUGUUAUCGUUGUUGAUGAUAAAGAUUUGGAUUAUUAUUAUUAUUAUGAUUUUCAAAAUGUAUUAUUAUUACUAUUGAUAAAAAAAUAUUAUAAUUAAUAUAUUAAUGUUAAUGAUAAUAAUAAUAAAAAUAAUUUUAUUAUUUUUAUUAUUAAUAAUUAAUAAUAAUUAAUAAUAAUUAAUAAUAAUAAUAAUAAUUUAUAAAUAAUAAUAAUCACAAUAAUUAAAAUAUAAAAUAAUAGUUAAUUAAGAAUUUUUUAGUAAUUUAUGACAAUCUAAUUCAUUAUGAUUAUGAUUUCAAGACAAAUUAAACACAUCAAUAAUAAUACAACUCAUUUUAAUUUUAAUUUCUACAGUUAAAGUAAACAAUUUAUUCUAAUUCUCAUUUCUCAUUUCUCAUUUUGAUUUCAGCUCAUUUUAAUUUCCGUUUAGUAAAAGCACCGUAUGUUUCUUGCUUUAGAUCCUGUUAUUUUGUCUGUUUGUGCACUGUGGUCACCGAACUUUUAGGGAAAAGAUUUUAAACAAGAAAAAAGUUAAGCAUAUUUCUCAUUACCAUCGAUAGUACAAUCAAUAAGCAUACAUUUCAUAUGUUAUUGUUAUCAUCAUGAGAGCUUACGGAAUGAAAUAUAUAAUACCCAAAAGAAAAAAAAAGGAAAAAAAACAAUGAUAAACUAUAUAGUUAUUUUAAAAGUAACGCACUGCUAAUAUGUACUUAAGAAUAUAUUUGGUAGUGCUUGUAGUUUAUUUCAUGCUCGAACUUUAUGCUGUAAUAUCAAAAUAAAGUUAUAAUAAUAAUAUUGAUGUUGUGUCAGUUAUCAUAUGAAUUAAGAUGCAAAUAUGACUAGAAAGGGAUCACGUUGAUAUGGUCUGUGAGAACAUUAGAAGAGUAAAGCUCAAUCUUUUAAGUCUUUUUGCAUUAAGUAUAUUGAAUUUAUAAUAAUUCAUAUCUGCAUCUUUCCAAUAAAAUUCGUAUUAUAACACUUCUGAUAUAAAGAAUGACAAAUCUGUCUUUUUAUUGAUGACCAAGACUGCAAAGAAUAGCUCUACAGAGAGCAUAUAAUUGAAUGUAAUAAGUUUACACUGAUUUAUCUGUUUGAUUUAAUCACUUCUUUAGCAGAUUUUUUCUUUUCAAAGGAAGGCCUUGAGGAAAUCUCUUUGCGUCGGUGCAGUAGUUGUAAAUCAUGUAUGUCUUUUGUACCCAUUUCAGCCUUUCUUAACUUGUUGAAUCAAGCUCUUGUGAGAACCAGGAGCAGCCGUUGGAUAUAUGGAGAGGAAGGUGAACUUGAAGCACAAGAAGAUAUUCCAUUAGACCAGACACAUGCAUCAGCGUUGAAGUUUCUAUAAGAAGCGGCGAAAGGAGCAUGUGUCCAGUGUGUCUUGAUAAGGCCACCUCUUGUAGCCUAGUCAUCAGCAUUCCGUAGAGAAGAGUACAUCCUCAUUGGUUGAUUCUUUGGAAAUGGCACUCCAAUUGAUUCUGAGUUCUUGAAUUCUCUUAUGGGGGUGCCAUCAACAGCGAAGCUGGAAAUUACAAGGAAAAAGUUAUAAGUCUAAUCAGAUUAACGACAGGGAAAAGAACAUGAUUGGGAUUGAAGGAAAAAAAAAACAGUACUAACACAAUGCGCUGAGGAUACCAGAGGAUGGGAUAGGUUUGAAAACCAGCAGUAAGGUCAAACCAGAGGUGAAAUUGUUGCUCUCUUUCACCUUUGCCAUUUGUGAAUACAUUGGUGUGCAGAGUGUAAGGGUCACCACUUAAAUUGCCCAAGAAUUCAAAGUUUAUCUCCCCAAGUAUUAUCAAAAUCUUGGUAGAAGUUAGCAGAAGAAGCUACAAUUAGAGAGAAAAUCACAAAACUGACCAUCAACAUGGACGGAAUAUAUGAAGAAACUAGAAAGCAAGCCACGGGAAUGUUUUGCAUGUGAAUAGUAUUAGAAAUGUAAAAGAAUCUGAAAUGAUGAAAAGGUUGUGCUUAGUUGGUGUUUUUAUACUAUAAGUUUUGGCAGAGUUGAACGGAGAGAAGAUACACGGGAAACUUCAGUACGUUUUGGUAUAGUUGGCAAAGCAAUGUAACUAAUGAUUGUUCAUUAAAAUGGCGCAGACCAAAUUUUUCAGACGCGGUUUUGCGUGAUUUGUUAAUUGUUUGUAAAGAAAGGGGAGACAAGGCGCGGCCUAGUUCCCUUUUCAAAACAAACAUUCAUUUUACAUACAGUUAGGUCCAAGUGAAUGGCAAGCGAAACCCACCACCGUCUCGCGUGUUAGACAACGCCAGUAACAUAAAAUUUGAGUAAUGUCAUGCGGUUAUUGCCAACCCAAUUCGGAUAUUUAGUUUGUCUCCUCCUUAUUACAUUUUAUGUAUCAUUUAUUAAUUAGGUUGAUAACAAAUAAUUAAUAAUAAAACAAAUAAAUAUUAUAUACAUGACAAUAAAAGAUUAAUUUUGGAGUUACUAAAUUAAGAAUUCAAACAGAAUAAAUAUAACAUAAUUGUCACUUGGGUUAACACUGAAUUGCUAGUGAGGAGAAUUUUCAAUUCUGGAAUUUCUUAAUAAGUUCUAUGUUAUUCUUAGUAUUAUUAUAAUAUUAUUUUUUUGCCUUGACUUGAGAAUCAAUUAAUAAAAAAAGCUGAAAAUCUGAAGAGAGGGUCGCAUCAUGUGAAUUCAACUGUCUUUAGUAGUGGCGGUGGGAAAAUCUAAUAAGAGUCAGCUGGUAGUGGGGACCACGACAGCGGCAAAUAAUAAACUAAACGGAAGUCGUUUGGUCCCAAAAAUAAUGCAAAAACCGCGUGCUGUAAUAAAAUAUGGCUGGUCGGAUAAUGCUUGUUAGUGCGAUAUGUACAGCUAUUUUAUUAUACUUUUUUCAAGCCAACAACUGUCCACAGCCGAGCGCACUGGACCUUUCCCUUCACUUUCCUCUGCAUUUUACAUUCCCCAUCUUCACCGGCUAUAAAUACAACACAAUGGUCUUAAACACAUUCAUCGCUCCACUUUCGAAUUACAAACUUCUCUCAGUUAAUUCAAACACUACUUGUACCUCGUUUGCUCAAGCAUAUGUCAAUGGCUUCAAUGUUGCAUUUGUUUCUUGUGCUUGCCUCUUUGAUGGUUGCCUCUGCUGGUAACUUCUACAAAGAUUUUGACAUCACCUGGGGAGAUGGCCGUGCCAAGAUGCUCAACAAUGGCGACCUUCUUACUCUUUCCCUCGAUAAAGCUUCUGGCUCAGGAUUCCAGUCCAAGAAUGAGUAUCUAUACGGCAAGAUUGACAUGCAGCUCAAGCUUGUCCCAGGCAACUCUGCUGGCACUGUCACUGCUUAUUACGUAAGUUCCUUCUUUUAAUACAACUUAAUCAUACGCAAGUAUUAUGCAUGCAAAAUGGGUCGUAGUUGAAUAAUCAUAUGUGAUGAUACAUAUAAAUAUCUGUUUUUUUUUUUAAUGCAGCUAAAAUCACCGGGAUCAACAUGGGAUGAGAUAGACUUUGAAUUCUUGGGAAAUUCAAGUGGUGACCCUUACACUCUUCAUACCAAUGUAUUUACAAAUGGCAAAGGUGACAGAGAGCAACAAUUUCACCUCUGGUUUGACCCCACUGCUGACUUUCACGCCUAUUCUAUCCUCUGGAAUCCUCAGCGCAUUGUGUAAGCAAUAUUUUCCUUCAAUCUCGAUCGUUUGUUUUUUCCUUGUCGUUCAAUCUGCUUAGACUUAUCAAUGUUUACUUAAUUUUCAGCUUCUCUGUUGAUGGCACCCCCAUAAGAGAAUUUAAGAACUCAGAGUCAAUUGGCGUUCCAUUCCCAAAGAAUCAGCCAAUGAGAAUAUACUCUUCUCUUUGGAAUGCUGAUGACUGGGCCACAAGAGGUGGCCUCGUGAAGACAGAUUGGACGCAUGCUCCUUUCACUGCUUCCUACAGAAAUUUUAAUGCUGAAGCUUGUGUUUGGUCUAAUGGAAAAUCUUCUUGCGCUUCAAAUUCUGCUUCCUCUACAUCCAGCAACGGUGCUUGGUUCUCACAAGAGCUAGAUUCAACAAAUCAAAAUAGGCUGAAAUGGGUGCAGAAGAAUUACAUGAUUUACAAUUACUGCACUGAUACAAAGAGAUUUCCUCAGGGCCUUCCUGCAGAAUGCAGAACCUCCUAGAGAAAAUAAUCAACAAGACGCUUAAAAAUUAUUUUAUUCUUUCGUGUAAUCAUUCAAUGGUUAUUCAAUUCAUGUAGAUUCUGGAGUCAGAUUCUUUGUUUCUCUGUAAUCAAUAAAAUGGCAUAUUAGUCCAAUUUUUACCAUAUGUAACACUGGUUAAUGAAUUUUAAAAAGGAUAAUGUUAUGCGUACUUGCGUGGUAUACAAAUUAAGUAUGCUAACUAAGUAAACAUAAUAUUACUAUUUCAAAAGAUUUUGUUCUUCUUUGUUGUUAUUCUUCGUAAGCUUUAGCAUAUAGUUAUAAGCCUAAUUAAAGGUAUUGACAUGAUGACUCAUUAAUAAAGCUUUUAGACCCUAGAUUGGAAUAUGACGAAUUAUCGAGGAUGCAUGAAGAUAAGAGCAAAUGAGUCUCCACCAGAAUGAGAAGAAAAUAUACUGCGUGUGAGCGUUACCGUAUUUGUGUCAAUCGAGGAGAAAUUUUAGCCAUUGAUUAGUAUUUAGAUAAGGCAGUAAAAGGGUAAAAUGGCAGAAAUAAACUAAAAAAAUAACAGAGUGAACUUGCACAAGUCGAUGAGGAAGAGUGAUGCAUACCGUUAUUGUUGUACGUGUUAAUUAAUAAUGAGAGGGGGACAAGCUGCGAGCCAGCUCUCAAGAGUUGAUUUUUCAAGGCGAGUCAACCCCGCCAUGCCACCACCGCCUUUCCAGAUAAACAAAUUAAACAUUCUCUAGUAUAAGUGGUAAUAUACAAAACAGGAAACAGGGCUUUUGUACACAGCAAAAUCUUCAGUCCGUUCGAUUUAAAUACCAAUAUCUAUAAAUUCCUUAAUAAUAAUAAUAAUAAGCAUAUCUUCCAGUUCUAUAUGUGUUUUAUUACAUACGAACCCACCGGAAAGUAUGUGUUAGUGUUGUGAAAAUUUUAAUAUAUUCGCAAGUGCACGAAUCUAGAGAUAGAAUUGUGAUAACGAGAUCGAUCCCACAUGGAUUGUUAUAAAUUAAAAAGUCUAAUUUAAAUCUAAAAUUAAUAUUAAUCCUAACCUAGUUGAGCAAAUUGAGUUUCAAAAGAAAUUAAACUAAUUAAACUAAGAAAACAAUUAAAGUAAAUGAGAUUUCAAUGAGACAAAAAUUACCAAGGUUUCGGAAUCCACCACUAGUCAAUUAGUAAUUAUCUAAUUAUUAAUUAAUCCCUAAUUUUAGAGUGACAACUCGAAAUCAAUCUAUGUCAUCUCAUAAAUAUAAUAAUUAAGCCCAAUUAAAAUUAAUCUUGUGUAUGUUAUUUUUCUGCUUAAUAGUAUGAUAUCUAAGUAUCCCAUGUAAACAUAUUAAAUAACAAAAAGUCAAAAUUUUCCUAAGCACUCUAUGUAAACAAUUUAAUGAAAGAUAUAGAAUCAAAGAUAAUAAUGUAUAAACUUUAUAUAUCCAAGCAUAGAUUUAAUCGAACAUUAAUCCUAACAAUCAAUAAUACAUGAUAGAAUUGAUGAAAAGUUUUUAAUAACAUAUAAUUAAUCAUGUGAAAUAAAAACUAUAAUCAUUAAAGAACAUAUAUAGGAAAUUAAAUAAAUAAAAAGAUAAUUAUUUCAUUAAAUAAGGUAUCAUCUUUAAUCUUGGUAUAAGAAAAUUAGUUAGACAUACUUAAAUUGGGAGUAACACAAAAAAUAAAAUCACUCAUAGAAGCCGAACUGCUGCUGCUCUUCGUCCCGAAGCCGAACUGCUGCUGCUCUUCGUCCCGCGGCUUCUCUUCUGGCGGCCGCCUUUCCCUCUUGCAAAAGCCAAAGUUCGGCUUUUAUAUUGUAACUCCCCACAAAAUCCUCAAAUCAAAAGGUUUUAAAACAAGCCAAGCACAACCGACUUUGAGCCCAUGCAUGUGAAGCCCACUUGGAAUUUUCAUUCCUUUUUUAAUGCCAUGCAAUUGCUUUCCCACGUGCUGGCCACUUUAGCUUUAAAUUUCUUCUUUGUUUGCACUAGCAUGGAGAAUUCAAUUUAUUGGCUUCGGCUUCGGCUUCUUCGGAUUGAAUUUCAUACACAUCUACUUAAUUGCUUCCAUAAAUUGACUUGAUUUUUAAUGUUGUCCAAUUGUUAUUCUUUAUGUACUUUUCAUUCCUAAUCUCCAAUUAAUUCCCAAUUCAAUAAAACAAUUCAAUUAAUUAAAAAUAAUAAAUAAAUAUAACUAACAAUUAUUUAAUUAAGGGUAAAAUAUGCAUAUAUUAUAUGCUCAUCAGUUAUCAAUUAACCUAAAAUUUGGAAACAAAUUCACAGUUUCAUGUUACUAGGAAGCAUGUGUAUCGGUAUCUUGGGAUACAUAUUUCUUAGAUGUUAGAUCCAUGAUUCGUGUUAGGGACUCCAGUAAAGACUUGUCUUUAAUUUUCUUGGGUCAAACCAUUUUCGUUUUUACAUAGCAAAGGUUUCUUGUUCAAAUCUCAGCGUGCUCAAUUUUUUGGGAAUAACACACGUAUAUGUUUCAAUUCAUGUAUGUUCAAGAACCUCUAAUUCAAUCUCCUAUCUCCGCUUUUGGAACGACAUGACCUUGAAACUGGAUCCAUGUUUCACAUGGGCAGGUCUUUUAACACUUUAAUGCUAUUUUCUGGACUCCUGUUUAACGUCUUAAGCUUUUGAAUUAAAUGAUUUCCUGAUAAUAAAUAUAGUUAUCGAAAAAAUCUGUUAAUUAAGUACGUCAUUGAGCAAUUUUUUCUUUUUCUUUUUCUUUUGAGCAUAAAAUGGAAAAAAAAAAUGAAAAUCUCGAGAGAGAACAGUACCCAGUGAAUUCUACAUUUUCUUUUUUGUGUUUUGACUGGUGGUGGCUGGAAAAAAAAAAAUCUAAUAAGAGUCAGCCGGUGAUGGGAACAGAACAGCAGUACAGAAUAAGCACUUGAGUCUCAAAAAUAUGCAAAGCCGCGUAUUGUAAUUAAAAAAAGUCCCUGGUGUAGCGUGUUCUGUUAGUGCGAUUCGGACAGCUGUUUUUAUUUCAUCACGCUAUUUUACGCAAACAACUGGCCACAGCUGAAGCUGAACUAACUGGAGCUUCCCAUUACUUUCCUCUGCUUUCGUUAUACUCACCUUCACCAGCUCAAUCAAGCUAUAAACACCAAACCCUGGUGAGAUCCCAAACACACUCAUCGCUUCACUUUCAAAAAUUUCAAACUUCUCUCCAACUCAAAUUCUUCUAUCUUGUUGUUGCUCAGACGAAAGCUUCCAUGGCUUCAGUAUUGCAUCUGUCGCUGCUUCUUCUUGGCUCUUUGAUGGUUGCCUCUGCUGGUAACUUCCACCAAGAUUUUGAUAUCACUUGGGGAGACGGGCGUGCUAAUAUACUCAACAAUGGCCAGCUUCUUACUCUUUCCCUUGAUAAAGCCUCUGGCUCAGGCUUCCAGUCCAAGAAUGAGUAUCUAUUCGGCAAGAUUGAUAUGCAACUCAAACUAGUCCCUGGCAACUCUGCCGGCACUGUCACUGCGUAUUAUGUAAGUUCCUGCCUUUAUAUGAAUAAACAAUAUGCAUGUUUGAUCAUUACCCUUUAUAUGAAUAAACAAUAUGCAUGUUUGAUCAUCAUGUAUCUGACAUAUAGACCUUUGAUUUUUUGUUCACGCAGUUAAAAUCGCCAGGAUCAACAUGGGAUGAGAUAGACUUCGAGUUCUUGGGGAAUUUAAGUGGUGACCCUUACACUCUGCAUACCAAUGUUUUCACAAAUGGCAAAGGUGACAAAGAACAACAAUUUCACCUCUGGUUUGACCCCACUGCUGACUUUCACACCUAUUCUAUCCUCUGGAAUCCUCAGCGCAUUGUGUAAGCAAUAUUUUCCUUCAAUCUCCAUCAUUUCUUCUUUCCUUGUCAGUCAAUCUGCUUAGACGUACCAAUGUUUACUUAAUUUUCAG